rnacentral:rRNA from 1 species
AGAGUUUGAUUCCUGGCUCAGAUUGAACGCUGGCGGCAGGCCUAACACAUGCAAGUCGAAGGUAGCACAGAGAGCUUGCUCUCGGGUGACGAGUGGCGGACGGGUGAGUAAUGUCUGGGAACUGCCUGAUGGAGGGGGAUAACUACUGGAAACGGUAGCUAAUACCGCAUAACGUCGCAAGACCAAAGAGGGGGACCUUCGGGCCUCUUGCCAUCAGAUGUGCCCAGAUGGGAUUAGCUAGUAGGUGGGGUAACGGCUCACCUAGGCGACGAUCCCUAGCUGGUCUGAGAGGAUGACCAGCCCACUGGAACUGAGACACGGUCCAGACUCCUACGGGAGGCAGCAGUGGGGAAUAUUGCACAAUGGGCGCAAGCCUGAUGCAGCCAUGCCGCGUGUAUGAAGAAGGCCUUCGGGUUGUAAAGUACUUUCAGCGGGGAGGAAGG